CAAACUUUGCUAAAAUAACAAUUCCCCAGAAACGUCAUGAGUUCGACGCCACAGGAGGAAACCAGCAGGAACAGAGAGUCUGCAGGUCGUCGGUCGAGGCUGUUUCUUAUUUUCCCCUUUAUUCUCUUCAUCAUUUCUCUGAGUUUGCUUUUCAUCUUCAGCUUGAAAAAUUGCUCCAAAAACUCAAAAUUUCAAGAGAACCUGCAGAGAGCCUCUGCCUUGCAGUUUGGAUGCCUUGCUCAAGAGCAGACCUGUGUUGAUGUGGAGCAGAACUCAGUGAUUCCUGAUGAACCGCAGCGUCAUGAAAACUGUGGAGGUUGAGUCGAUCAAUCUGAGACUAUCGAUGAAUCCAGGUUCUUCAUAAAGCAGCUCACAGACUCUGCAGGAAUCCCACAAACUUUCUGAUAAACAUGAGAAAAUGUUGUGGAUUUUUCUCCAGGAAGAGGAAACACCUGAAGAGAAGCUCUUGGUUUUUUCUCUUGUUUUUCUGUGUCUCCUGAAGUUGAGUCUGUCUACAGAUCAAUGAGACCAGUGGAAGGUUUUCAUCUCUGACUGAACGUCACAAAAGGUGAAGAAAUGAGAAGAGAUUAUAGAAAAUGCAGCUCAAACCUGCAGCCUCUCCAGAUGAAUGGACAGUCUGUGAAGAGACACCAGCAACAAUCAAACUGGGAUCAAACUGGCCCAGUUUGGCCUGAACCAGUGAAGAGUUGCUGGUUUCUUCCUGAGCAUCAUGGAGACAUUUGAACAUUUUGCAUCAUUUGCUGCUCUGCUGGAUGUUAUGCUGCUCCAAUCACUGAGACUUAAAAUUAAUUUACGUUAAUGUGUUUUCCGUGGAAUGAAGGGAACUGAACUUCUGUUCAGUUUCUUAACCAUAUCAGCUCUGACCUGCUCUGAAGGCUGUGAUGCAUUCAGGGACUGUUUGUUCAUCUCAGUGUUUCCAGAGAGCGACUGUCGACUCACCAGUGAUUCUCUGAGGCUUCCUGUCCUGUGAGAUGGUGACUUCAGUGUAGGACACAGAACGGUUCACUCCACCUGCACAAAACAACCAAUCAUGGUGACGGCCGUUUUACUGCCAUAGUUUUAAUUUACAUGUUUUAUUUUGUAUUAUUUAUAUUUUUAAGACUCUUAUUUUGGAAGAUUAAGGUAGGAAGUGGAAUCAGUACGUUGCUAGUUACCAGAGAUGCUUGACAUGUAACGGCAUGCUUUGGCAAGUAAAUGAAGGAAGAUCAUUAAGUUUAAGAAUUUAUUUUAAUUAUCUCAUUUCUGCCUCAAAAGGAAGGAUCAGCCAGCGAAGUAUUUUUAUAUGUUUUAUAUUAUUUGUUUUGUCAAUAUUGCAUUAUUGACACCAUCUCACUAAGUUUACGUUGUGUGGUUUUGGUGUCAGGGAAACUGACGCUGUGACAAGAACAACUUUAAAGACUUUCAUUAAAGCUGACUUCACACCAGCUGUGAAAUGAACUCUUAAUUGCCAAAAAUAAGAACGGGUGGAAGUGAUGAGCCGGACGAGGUCAAAGUUCAACAUUUAUCCUAUGAAGCUGUAAUGCUGUCUUCAGGUUAUAGGUCAAAGUUCAUGAAUGAAUAAAAACUGUGAUAAAGUCACUGAACCAGGA